rnacentral:rRNA from 1 species
AGUGAACGCUGGCGGUAGGCCUAACACAUGCAAGUCGAACGGCAGCACAGUAAGAGCUUGCUCUUACGGGUGGCGAGUGGCGGACGGGUGAGGAAUACAUCGGAAUCUACUUUUUCGUGGGGGAUAACGUAGGUAAACUUACGCUAAUACCGCAUACGACCUACGGGUGAAAGCAGGGGAUCUUCGGACCUUGCGCGAUUGAAUGAGCCGAUGUCGGAUUAGCUAGUUGGCGGGGUAAAGGCCCACCAAGGCGACGAUCCGUAGCUGGUCUGAGAGGAUGAUCAGCCACACUGGAACUGAGACACGGUCCAGACUCCUACGGGAGGCAGCAGUGGGGAAUAUUGGACAAAGGGCGCAAGCCUGAUCCAGCCAUACCGCGUGGGUGAAGAAGGCCUUCGGGUUGUAAAGCCCUUUUGUUGGGAAAGAAAAGCAGCAGGUUAAUACCCCGCUGUUCUGACGGUACCCAAAGAAUAAGCACCGGCUAACUUCGUG